GCCUUGGUGGUUCAAUGGUAGAAUUCUCACCUUCCAUGUGAGAGACCCAGGCU
rnacentral:tRNA from 1 species